UUCAAAGGGCUAUGGGUUCUUGGCGUCACACUAACGCCGUAAAAGAUAUCAUGGCAGUCUUCUCCAGAUUCAUAUUCUGAAUGACAAACUUCAUCUCAUCUACUGACGUUUUGCCUCAGCAUUGUUGCCCCACUCUGUUCCACUGAGGCACGUCCCUUGUAAGCUCUGCUACUGGUGCAACACUAACAGAUUCUGGCAUACAGCACAGCAAUGUACAAG